UAUCCGUGACAGUGUGUGUGUGUAAACACAUUUGCACAUAGCUCUAGAUAUCAUCAGAUGUUAAACAAAAUUAUAUUUUUUAGAAAUCAUUUCAUUUAAACAUUUAAAAAAUAAUCAAUGUUUUAUAGGCUAUUUUAUCAAUAUGUUUGUCAGAACAGACAAGCUUAUUUAUUGGCCCACCAAGGACGUAAUGAAUCAAUACAAUAAUAACCAAAUCCUGUAAUCCACAGUAAAGAGAAUUCAGUGCAGCGCAGAAAUAGGGGGAUGAUCCGCUGCAGAGAGAUGUCUGUCUGUCUAUCUAUCUAUCUCUAGCCAGAUCUGGGAGAGCAGGGCUGAUGGUUAUGCUGCCUUCAUUUUAGGAGUGAAGAGCAUCAAAAACAGCAAGAUGUACAACCUGCAGCAGUACAUCCUCAAGCAGCACUGACAGACACAGAAGGUCCGUGAUGAAACUCUGCCAUGUCCAGCAGCCAGCAGCCUCUGUCCCAGGCUUUGAUCAGGAUGUUGUGCAGUGGAACUGCUCCCACCAGCAGAAAACAUGCUGUCCCUGUGACUUUAUCCACCUCAGCACACAGUCAUGGAGAGGCUGAGUAUAUCUUGCCUUGUCUUCAUGGUUGCCCCAACCCUCAGGUAACUUCUUCUGGCAGGCCAAGAAUAAUCGUUGGCACCAGCGGCCAGUACUAUAUUUUAGCCUCACGGCUCACCUGCAAGGCUUGUAAGAAGUACUGGUAUGCUGACAAGCCCCAAUGGCUGGAGAAGCUACCAAAGCACUUUAGCAACAUUGUGCCAGCCUUCCUGACACACAAAAAGGCCAUCUGCAAAUCUGUGAUGGAUGAGCUGAGGAGCAUUGGCAGAUCAACAGGGGACGUGUCCAAGCAGCUGACAGAGGCGCUCCAUCGUAAAUGUGAGAGCUCACCUGGCCUAACUGCUGAGUGUGCAGAACAGCAGGGGUGCCACUUUAAAUGUUUAAAAGGGGAAAAUGUAAUUGUUUUGUAUUAUGCACACACACUGUAGGAAAAAAUUCCGAACCAAAUACGGGACGUAUUGUUUUGGAACCGUUUCGUCUUGAAGGGCUUCGAUGAUUAAGGGGAAAGGCAAGGAUAAUUAAGAGAUAAUAUUGAAACAAUUUAGUAAGAAUAUUUUAUCCGUCCAAACUUCAAAGUUUCUAGUACCAGGCAUGUUCAUUCUAUCCUGUGUGUUCCUGUCAUGGUAAAGCAGCACCAUCUGCAGGCUUUGAUGAGUUGCAAACUGAGGAUUGCUUUUAACGUUUUUAAAAUUUGAAGUGUUGAAAGUGAAAGUGAAGUGUUUAACAAUGACUGUAUUUGUUUCAUGGCAGGAUGGAAAAUCCUCUGAUGCAACAUGUUAUGUUAUUGUCAUACAAAAAGUGAAGAUGGUUAUAUGAAGACAAAAUAUGCAGCUUGAAAACUGUUCCUGGAAUGCAACGCUAAUGUGUUAUUUAUAUGGGUAUUGUGUGACUACUCCCAGUAAUGAAAUGAUUAGGCAUGUUGUCCUCACAUG